UACGAAGGGUGGAAACGUUGCUCGGAAUUAUUGGGCGUAAAGCGCGCGCAGGCGGUCCUUUAAGUCUGAUGUGAAAGCCCACGGCUCAACCGUGGAGGGUCAUUGGAAACUGGGGGACUUGAGUACAGAAGAGAAGAGUGGAAUUCCACGUGUAGCGGUGAAAUGCGUAGAGAUGUGGAGGAACACCAGUGGCGAAGGCGACUCUUUGGUCUGUAACUGACGCUGAGGCGCGAAAGCGUGGGGAGCAAACAGG
rnacentral:rRNA from 1 species